GGAGAGAUGGCUGAGCGGUCGAAAGCGGCGGUCUUGAAAACCGUUGAGUCCGUCAGGGCUCCGGGGGUUCGAAUCCCUCUCUCUCCGCCA
rnacentral:tRNA from 1 species